GAUGACCUUAAUCAAGCACAAAUAAUUCUGAUACCCAAACCCGACAGGGAUGCUGAGAAUUUAGCUUCCUAUCGCCCAAUAUCACUACUUAAUCAAGACGUCAAACUCCUUACCAAAAUCAUUGCUCUGAGAAUACAAUUGUUUGCACCACUGACACUCAACUCUCACAAGCUGGGCUUUGUAAGGGGCAGGCAGAGAGUGACGGGGGACUGCAGAGGUCUUGCGGC